UCUCCCAACCCUUGUACCAGUGUGAUAAUGGGGGAUCACUGGGACAAGCGAUGGAUGACA
rnacentral:pre_miRNA from 1 species